rnacentral:lncRNA from 1 species
GUGGCGGUAUCCCUUUAAGAGCCAUUUGGUACAAUUCAUAGCUUGAUUCGUGUCACCAGCUGCCUCUGAUUUCAGGAAGAAAUGCAGAAAUUUACAGGGAACUAUAAAAUGGGGACAGGUUUUUAGUUUUCUAAAUUGAGGUUUAACUGGCAAACUUCUGAAGGUUUAAGAAACCAUAAAGCUGGACGGUGGAAAGCUGGUUUCUUUUUCCGGUCAGAACAAAUAAACACACAAACACACAUCUAACUCUCAAAGUAUCUGGAGAGAGAAAUCAAUGCUCUUUGCAGAGGGGAGAAUGAAAAAGCAGCUUUGCGGGCACCAGGAGGACAGCCACAUUGGCCAGCAGGCAGCGAGCACGCUGUCCUGGCAGAAGGCGAAAUCUGAGCUUCAGCAGCGACGGGAGCAGAAUUUGCACAAACUCUCCUGUUUCAAGUUGCACGUCUCCGGAGUCCCAGGAAAGGCACCCAGCAUGGCCACAGCUCCCUUUGCAGAGCCCCAAGGGUUGCCGAGAAACACCACAACCUCCCACAAGACGCGCAGGUUCCCUAUAGAUGAGCUAAGAAACUGGUGAAUCACCCGCAAUCACAGAUAAGAAUCAAACUCUGGAUCGUUCAGCACAUUAACAGAAAUUACUGCUUCUGAGCUUCUUCCUUCAGUUCAUCAGAAUAAGGUGGGAAAUUAAAAAAAAUGCAGAUCCCUGAGCUUUGUUCCAAGAAA